AUUGAACGCUGGCGGCAUGCCUUACACAUGCAAGUCGAACGGUAACGGGCCUUCGGGUGCCGACGAGUGGCGAACGGGUGAGUAAUGCAUCGGAACGUACCUUUCAGUGGGGGAUAACGUAGCGAAAGUUACGCUAAUACCGCAUAUUCUGUGAGCAGGAAAGCAGGGGAUCGCAAGACCUUGCGCUGAUUGAGCGGCCGAUGUCAGAUUAGCUAGUUGGUGAGGUAAAGGCCUACCAAGGCGACGAUCAGUAGCUGGUCUGAGAGGACGACCAGCCACACUGGGACUGAGACACGGCCCAGACUCCUACGGGAGGCAGCAGUGGGGAAUUUUGGACAAUGGGCGAAAGCCUGAUCCAGCCAUGCCGCGUGCAGGAAGAAGGCCUUCGGGUUGUAAACUGCUUUAGUCUAGGAAAAAGGGGUGCGAGGUUAAUACCCUCGUGCUUUGAUGGUACUGGAAGAAUAAGCACCGGCUAACUACGUG
rnacentral:rRNA from 1 species